CCAAUAGCGUAUAUUAAAGUUGUUGCAGUUAAAAAGCUCGUAGUUGAAUUUCGGGGUCAGUAGGUCGGUCGUGCCACUGGUAUGAACUGGUUUUACUGAUUCCUCCCUCUUGAAGAACUGUAAUGCCAUUAAUUUGGUGUUGCAGGGAAUCAGGACUGUUACUUUGAAAAAAUUAGAGUGUUUAAAGCAGGCUUUAGCUUGAAUACAUUAGCAUGGAAUAAUGAAAUAGGACGUUUGAUCCUAUUUUGUUGGUUUCUAGGAUUGACGUAAUGAUUAAUAGGGAUAGUUGGGGGCAUUAGUAUUCAAUUGUCAGAGGUGAAAUUCUUGGAUUUAUUGAAGACUAACUACUGCGAAAGCAUUUGCCAAGGAUGUUUUCAUUAAUCAAGAACGAAAGUUAGGGGAUCGAAGACGAUCAGAUACCUUCGUAGUCUUAACCAUAAACUAUGCCGACUAGGGAUCGGAUGAUGUUAAUUUUUUAAUGACUCAUUCGGCGCCUUACG
rnacentral:rRNA from 1 species